rnacentral:rRNA from 1 species
GCCAGACUCCUACGGGAGGCAGCAGUGGGGAAUAUUGCACAAUGGGGGAAACCCUGAUGCAGCGACGCCGCGUGAGUGAAGAAGUAUUUCGGUAUGUAAAGCUCUAUCAGCAGGAACGAGACAAGACGGUACCUGACUAAGAAGCCCCGGCUAACUACGUGCCAGCAGCCGCGGUAAUACGUAGGGGGCAAGCGUUAUCCGGAACCACUGGGUGUAAAGGGAGCGUAGACGGCUGUGCAAGCCUGAAGUGAAAGGCGGGGGCCCAACCCCCGGACUGCUUUGGGAACUGUACGGCUGGAGUGCAGGAGAGGUAAGUGGAAUUCCUAGUGUAGCGGUGAAAUGCGUAGAUAUUAGGAGGAACACCAGUGGCGAAGGCGGCUUACUGGACUGUAACUGACGUUGAGGCUCGAAAGCGUGGGGAGCAAACAGGAUUAGAUACCCCAGUA